GCAAGUCGAGGGGUAACAGGAAAUAGCUUGCUAUUUUGCUGACGACCGGCGCACGGGUGCGAACGCGUAUAGAACCUACCUUUUACAGGGGAAUAGCCAGAGAACUUUGGAUUAAUGCCCCAUAGUAUUAUAAAAUGGCAUCAUUUUAUAAUUAAACAUGUAUGGGUAAAAGAUGGCUAUGCGGUCUAUUAGCUAGAUGGUAAGGUAACGGCUUACCAAGGCAACGAUAGAUAGGGGUCCUGAGAGGGAGAUC
rnacentral:rRNA from 1 species